CAGCAGUCGCCGCGGUAAUACGGAGGGUGCAAGCGUUAUCCGGAUUUAUUGGGUUUAAAGGGUCCGUAGGCGGACUUAUAAGUCAGUGGUGAAAGCCUGUCGCUUAACGAUAGAACUGCCAUUGAUACUGUAAGUCUUGAGUAUAUUUGAGGUAGCUGGAAUAAGUAGUGUAGCGGUGAAAUGCAUAGAUAUUACUUAGAACACCAAUUGCGAAGGCAGGUUACCAAGAUAUAACUGACGCUGAGGGACGAAAGCGUGGGUAGCGAACAGGAUUAGAUACCCCUGUAGUCCCUGUCUCUUAUAC
rnacentral:rRNA from 1 species